CACACACACACGGAGCGUCAGCAUUUAACCUGCACAGUCACAUCUUCACAGGUGUGACUUCCUUUAACUGUGACAGUAAACACAGACAAACUCCCGUCUUCAGCUGGUUGGGCCUCGUCACUUCAGGUGUCGUGUUUGGAUAUUUUUUUGUUGGCAAAGAGAAGCAAACUCACCUUCCAUAUUUUGACGAAGCUCAAAAGUUCAGAUGAAGUGAAAUGACAGAAAGGAGGACUUCGGCCUGCGUGUCUCCAGACGCAGAGAACGAAUGAAUGAACGAAUGAACGAGCGAGUGCAGCUGAUGAAACGGCGGUGCGGCGACAAGAAGGACACGGAGCUCAGUUAAUCUGCCUGCAGUCGUCCAUCAAACCGAAGCGCAGCACAACCUUUCUCACCGCUUGAUGCUCUGUUGUGGAGCCGAGCGUCGGCUCCUGCCGGGGUGCAGCAUCGAUCAGCUGGAUCCCACACACAAAUUCACAUCUCAAGUCUGAGGCAGCAACGCCAACAUGACAAAUAGGACCAGUAAAAUUUAAAUGUCUGCAAGCCCUUCAAACAAGCUUCUGCCAGAGACUUUCUUCUUCCUUUAUGUCUUCACACUGCAAACAUCUUCAGGAUGUCAUGCUUUUGUUUGGAUGGUUUGUUGACUUAUUCACUGUAAUCUGAACUGGGGGUUUGAACUGAGGACCAAGUGUAGUUGGGCGGAGUCGCUCCUGUACGGUCACCUGCCUGCACACCUGUUCCUCGUCUGCCUCCAAUCACUCAGCACUGCCCCUGGAUAAGUAAGACCGGCUGUUCCUCGCCUCCCUGGCCAGGAUCGUCUCGAUCCUCCUGUCUGCCCUGCUUGGCUCUGUCUCUGGACUGGACCUCACCUGCUGACUGGUUAUCUGCCUGUUUUGUUUUCCGUUCUUGCGAACUAUUUCCAUGUUUUGUACUGAAUAUCUCCACUAAAAACUUUAUUAAUCGUUUACCUGA